GACGAACGCUGGCGGCGUGCUUAACACAUGCAAGUCGAACGGUAAGGCCCUUCGGGGUACACGAGUGGCGAACGGGUGAGUAACACGUGGGUGAUCUGCCCUGCACUUCGGGAUAAGCCUGGGAAACUGGGUCUAAUACCGGAUAGGACCACUGCCUGCAUGGGUGGUGGUGGAAAGCUUUUGCGGUGUGGGAUGGGCCCGCGGCCUAUCAGCUUGUUGGUGGGGUGAUGGCCUACCAAGGCGACGACGGAUAGCCGGCCUGAGAGGGUGACCGGCCACACUGGGACUGAGAGACGGCCCAGACUCCUACGGGAUGCAGCAGUGGGGAAUAUUGCACAAUGGUCGCAAGCCGGAUGCAGCGACGCCGCGUGAGGGAUGACGGCCUUCGGGUUGUAAACCUCUUUCAGCACCGACGAAGCGCAAGUGACGGUAGGUGCAGAAGAAGGACCGGCCAACUACGUGCCAGCCGCCGCAGUAAUAC
rnacentral:rRNA from 1 species